CCAAAACCUAAAAGCUGGCUCUGCCCUAGGUAAGAGUUUUGGAGUGGUUCGUUCACGGUGGUCCCGUUGGCUGCCGUUCGGAGUUUGGGGUGGUGUUGUUGAGUGUUGAACGGUUGGAGCGACCGGUUCCAUCAAGCUCUCGGUGGUGGCCGAUCAUGAUGGUUUUUGUAGGGUUUUCAGUUGUGGUGGCUGAGAUUGGUGAAGGGGUGAGUUCUUGAGCUUGAGUAGCCGAUUAUGGGUUAUUUGAUGACAACCUCUCAUGUUCUAUGAGUUAAUUGCAUAACUGGGUAUGGCAAAUUGUUUGAGUUUCAUUGAAGAUUGAAUUUUGAGCAUGUGUAUGUUGGCAAAUAUGUUUCAAAUGUAUCCCUUUUUAAUGUUUUAGUUCCUAUUUGUUAGUUUAUUACGGUUAAUCAAGGUUUAGAAAGUUUGAAAAUGAUUAUAUGCUUUUAAGUUCUAUGAGUCAAAUGUAGAAUUGCGUGUAAAUGUUUUGUAUAGAAAUGAAUAUUGCAAUUUUUUCUUUUUA